CCCUUCAUCUUCCACAACACUUCACCGAAUCUCCUGUGUCCCCAAUACGCCUCCGCCUCCACCUUCCCCCCACCCUCCUUCUCCUCCGCCGCCGUCACCGCUAACCGCUCGUAAUACCCCGCGCUCACGCCUUCGAACUCGUCCAGCACAACCACCGCCUCCUCCGGCACGGCAUAGACCUCGCCCUUCACGCGAUGCCCCGAC
rnacentral:misc_RNA from 1 species